UACGGGGGGGGCAAGCGUUGUUCGGAAUUACUGGGCGUAAAGGGCUCGUAGGCGGCCAACUAAGUCAGACGUGAAAUCCCUCGGCUUAACCGGGGAACUGCAUCUGAUACUGGAUGGCUUGAGAUUGGGAGAGGGAUGCGGAAUUCCAGGUGUAGCGGUGAAAUGCGUAGAUAUCUGGAGGAACACCGGUGGCGAAGGCGGCAUCCUGGACCAACACUGACGCUGAGGAGCGAAAGCCGGGGGAGCAAACGGG
rnacentral:rRNA from 1 species